CACUAUCGUUAACUGAAUACAUAGGUUAACGAGGCGAACCGGGGGAACUGAAACAUCUAAGUACCCCGAGGAAAAGAAAUCAACCGAGAUUCCCCCAGUAGCGGCGAGCGAACGGGGAGCAGCCCAGAGUCUGAAUCAGCUUGUGUGUUAGUGGAACGGUCUGGAAAGUCCGACGGUACAGGGUGAUAGUCCCGUACACCAAAAUGCACAGGCUGUGAACUCGAAGAGUAGGGCGGGACACGUGGUAUCCUGUCUGAAUAUGGGGGGACCAUCCUCCAAGGCUAAAUACUCCUGACUGACCGAUAGUGAACCAGUACCGUGAGGGAAAGGCGAAAAGAACCCCGGCGAGGGGAGUGAAAAAGAACCUGAAACCGUGUACGUACAAGCAGUGGGAGCACCUUCGGGUGUGACUGCGUACCUUUUGUAUAAUGGGUCAGCGACUUAUAUUCUGUAGCAAGGUUAACCGUAUAGGGGAGCCGCAGGGAAACCGAGUCUUAACUGGGCGUUAAGUUGCAGGGUAUAGACCCGAAACCCGGUGAUCUAGCCAUGGGCAGGUUGAAGGUUGGGUAACACUAACUGGAGGACCGAACCGACUAAUGUUGAAAAAUUAGCGGAUGACUUGUGGCUGGGGGUGAAAGGCCAAUCAAACCGGGAGAUAGCUGGUUCUCCCCGAAAGCUAUUUAGGUAGCGCCUCGUGAAUUCAUCUUCGGGGGUAGAGCACUGUUUCGGCUAGGGGGUCAUCCCGACUUACCAACCCGAUGCAAACUACGAAUACCGAAGAAUGUUAUCACGGGAGACACACGGCGGGUGCUAACGUCCGUCGUGAAGAGGGAAACAACCCAGACCGCCAGCUAAGGUCCCAAAGUCAUGGUUAAGUGGGAAACGAUGUGGGAAGGCACAGACAGCCAGGAUGUUGGCUUAGAAGCAGCCAUCAUUUAAAGAAAGCGUAAUAGCUCACUGGUCGAGUCGGCCUGCGCGGAAGAUGUAACGGGGCUAAACCAUGCACCGAAGCUGCGGCAGCGACACUAUGUGUUGUUGGGUAGGGGAGCGUUCUGUAAGCCUGCGAAGGUGACCUGUGAGGGUUGCUGGAGGUAUCAGAAGUGCGAAUGCUGACAUAAGUAACGAUAAAGCGGGUGAAAAGCCCGCUCGCCGGAAGACCAAGGGUUCCUGUCCAACGUUAAUCGGGGCAGGGUGAGUCGACCCCUAAGGCGAGGCCGAAAGGCGUAGUCGAUGGGAAACAGGUUAAUAUUCCUGUACUUGGUGUUACUGCGAAGGGGGGACGGAGAAGGCUAUGUUAGCCGGGCGACGGUUGUCCCGGUUUAAGCAUGUAGGCUGGUUGUCCAGGCAAAUCCGGAUAAUCAAGGCUGAGGUGUGAUGACGAGGUACUACGGUGCUGAAGUAACAAAUGCCCUGCUUCCAGGAAAAGCCUCUAAGCAUCAGGUAACAUUAAAUCGUACCCCAAACCGACACAGGUGGUCAGGUAGAGAAUACCAAGGCGCUUGAGAGAACUCGGGUGAAGGAACUAGGCAAAAUGGUGCCGUAACUUCGGGAGAAGGCACGCUGGUGUGUAGGUGAAGUCCCUGCGGAUGGAGCUGAGACCAGUCGAAGAUACCAGCUGGCUGCAACUGUUUAUUAAAAACACAGCACUGUGCAAACACGAAAGUGGACGUAUACGGUGUGACGCCUGCCCGGUGCCGGAAGGUUAAUUGAUGGGGUUAUCCGUAAGGAGAAGCUCUUGAUCGAAGCCCCGGUAAACGGCGGCCGUAACUAUAACGGUCCUAAGGUAGCGAAAUUCCUUGUCGGGUAAGUUCCGACCUGCACGAAUGGCGUAAUGAUGGCCAGGCUGUCUCCACCCGAGACUCAGUGAAAUUGAACUCGCUGUGAAGAUGCAGUGUACCCGCGGCAAGACGGAAAGACCCCGUGAACCUUUACUAUAGCUUGACACUGAACAUUGAGCCUUGAUGUGUAGGAUAGGUGGGAGGCUUUGAAGCGUGGACGCCAGUCUGCGUGGAGCCAACCUUGAAAUACCACCCUUUAAUGUUUGAUGUUCUAACGUUGGCCCCUGACCGGGGUUGCGGACAGUGUCUGGUGGGUAGUUUGACUGGGGCGGUCUCCUCCCAAAGCGUAACGGAGGAGCACGAAGGUUAGCUAAUCCUGGUCGGACAUCAGGAGGUUAGUGCAAUGGCAUAAGCUAGCUUGACUGCGAGCGUGACGGCGCGAGCAGGUGCGAAAGCAGGUCAUAGUGAUCCGGUGGUUCUGAAUGGAAGGGCCAUCGCUCAACGGAUAAAAGGUACUCCGGGGAUAACAGGCUGAUACCGCCCAAGAGUUCAUAUCGACGGCGGUGUUUGGCACCUCGAUGUCGGCUCAUCACAUCCUGGGGCUGAAGUAGGUCCCAAGGGUAUGGCUGUUCGCCAUUUAAAGUGGUACGCGAGCUGGGUUUAGAACGUCGUGAGACAGUUCGGUCCCUAUCUGCCGUGGGCGCUGGAGAAUUGAGGGGGGCUGCUCCUAGUACGAGAGGACCGGAGUGGACGCAUCACUGGUGUUCGGGUUGUCAUGCCAAUGGCACUGCCCGGUAGCUAAAUGCGGAAGAGAUAAGUGCUGAAAGCAUCUAAGCACGAAACUUGCCCCGAGAUGAGUUCUCCCUGAGACUUUAAGUCUCCUGAAGGAACGUUGAAGACGACGACGUUGAUAGGCCGGGUGUGUAAGCGCAGCGAUGCGUUGAGCUAACCGGUACUAAUGAACCGUGAGGCUUAACCUU
rnacentral:rRNA from 1 species